GAGGGUAUAGCUCAAGUGGUAGAGUGCGUGCUUAGUAGGCACGAAGUCCUGGGUUCAAUCCCCAGCACCUCCA
rnacentral:tRNA from 1 species